GUCCACGCCCUAAACGAUGUCAACUGGUUGUUGGGUCUUCACUGACUCAGUAACGAAGCUAACGCGUGAAGUUGACCGCCUGGGGAGUACGGCAGCAAGGUUGAAACUCAAAGGAAUUGACGGGGACCCCGCACAAGCGGUGGAUGAUGUGGUUUAAUUCGAUGCAACGCGAAAAACCUUACCCACCUUUGACAUGUACGGAAUUCGCCAGAGAUGGCUUAGUGCUCGAAAGAGAACCGUAACACAGGUGCUGCAUGGCUGUCGU
rnacentral:rRNA from 1 species